UGAUCGUGACAGAGACCGAGAAAGAGAUCGUUUAAAUCAAAAUAAGAGGAGAAUAGGGGAUAGGAUGACGCACGUGAACAAAAAUAAAGGUAUGUUCUGUGAUCGUGUUUAGACAAUGAAUUUUUUUGGGAAGAAUACUGGAGAUUACGAGAAAUAAAGGUCCUCCGUAGACUGAGUCAUCCCAAUAUCAUGAAAUUGAACGAGGUUAUCCAAGAAAACGAUGAAGUGUUCCUAAUUUUUGAGUACAUGAUACAACUGCCUUAAGGAUGCAAACAACUACCUUUGAAAAAUUCAAAGGACUGUGGAAGACGCUUACAGAGGGAACUUGGAGUGAUGCAUUUGAUGGACUUGGAAUGUCCCUGUUACUGACUUGGAACCCUGCUUUUCAGCAUUUGUGUUAGGUGCAGUCUGUAAGAGUGUUGCUACCUUUCUCACAUAUCCUGCAAUCAGGUGUAAGGUGAUGAUACAAGCUGGAGAUCCAAAUGACAACGAUGGUGGUGGUGCGCAAGUAAUUUAUCAUAAUCCACAUGACCGGUGCAUUAGUGUGUAAUUAUAUUUUGUGCUUUCAUUCUUGAGUCUUGUUGUUCCUUUGUGUUGAGAUGGUAUUUUGUUGAGCAAAGUUCAGUCAAUUGGAGAAAAAGAAACUCUCAUUCAUGUACAAGCAAUUCAGCUGUUUUGUAUCCCGAAGAUCCUGUUAAAUUUACUACUUUUUUCACCUAAACAAAAGUAUUGAUCACCUACUCUUUUAA